ACUUCACCACCUUGUCGGCUAGCUUAUCAGACUGGUGUUGGAGGUUCCAUUUGCACGGCAACAACGGUCUGUAAGCUGGCUGACAUUGUGGGGCU
ensembl:miRNA mir21-1 microRNA mir-21-1